UACAAAAGAAGAUAUUUAAUCUGUAUGUCUCUUUAGCUAGGAGAACAAUACAAAUGAAAUUUGCAUUAUAAUCAUGGGCAGCCAUUAUAAUAUGGGAAAAAAACUGCAACCACACUUUAUUCAAUGUCACCAAAGUAUGCAUUACUAUUAAUCCCACAGGUAUAUUUAGCCUCUAGUGUUUUGGUGUAGCUUAUCUCUACCAAGCCAAAGAGCAAGCAACAACAUAUACCUGGAGAUGUGUUGAUACCCACCUCUAUCCAACAGGUAGGCAUCUCUGGAGAAAAGUGUUUUUUAAAAAAGUGUUUUUUAAAAAAACGACAUGAUUAUAGAUGAUGCAUGUCAUCUCUAUAAAUGAUAAGCAGGAUUCCCCCAAGCUGUAUGACAAGGAAGAACAGAUGCUAUGCCUCCUCCUCAAUCAAUAUACCAACACAUAAGAAUUCCUAGAGAGCUGAUCAGGUCCCACAAGGCUGGGAGGAGGUCUUAAAAAGAGUCAAAUAUGUCCCUGUCUUCAAAAAGAGAAGGAUUCCAGAAAUUGCAGAUUUCUCAGCUUGACAUCUGUACUAGGUAAGGCUAGGCAAUCAGGGAGAAGAUCAUGCAUCCAGUCCAAUUACCUUUAGAUUUGCAGACAGAAGAGCAGAAGCAGCUUCUACUUACAAAAGACUAAAGUCCAAGGAAAAAAGGAUCUGUUGGAAUACAGGAGAAGGAGACGGAAUAAAAGUACGUUAAGUGGUUUGCUCAUCCACUUCUACCAACAGCUGUCCAAGAGAUAACUGGGAUAACAUGGAUUUUUCCACUUCUUCCCUUGAUGUUCUAAUGCCAGAAACUGGACUUCAAAAUGCAGGUAGUCCUCACUUACCAGUAGUAACUGGAACAGGAACUGGGUUGCUAUGAGGCAUGGUUGUAAAGCACAACAACACACAACUGAGGUGAUUUAUGAUAAGGUGACCAACUUUUUUACAACGAAAAGGAGGACACGAAUAAAUUGAAGAAAAAA